rnacentral:rRNA from 1 species
GAUGAACGCUGGCGGCGUGCCUAAUACAUGCAAGUCGAGCGAACAGACGAGGAGCUUGCUCCUCUGACGUUAGCGGCGGACGGGUGAGUAACACGUGGAUAACCUACCUAUAAGACUGGGAUAACUUCGGGAAACCGGAGCUAAUACCGGAUAACAUGUUGAACCGCAUGGUUCAACAGUGAAAGACGGUUUUGCUGUCACUUAUAGAUGGAUCCGCGCCGCAUUAGCUAGUUGGUAAGGUAACGGCUUACCAAGGCAACGAUGCGUAGCCGACCUGAGAGGGUGAUCGGCCACACUGGAACUGAGACACGGUCCAGACUCCUACGGGAGGCAGCAGUAGGGAAUCUUCCGCAAUGGGCGAAAGCCUGACGGAGCAACGCCGCGUGAGUGAAGAAGGUCUUCGGAUCGUAAAACUCUGUUAUUAGGGAAGAACAAAUGUGUAAGUAACUAUGCACGUCUUGACGGCACCUAAUCAGAAAGCCACGGCUAACUACGUG